AUGAACGCUAGCUACAGGCUUAACACAUGCAAGUCGAGGGGCAGCAUGGUCUUAGCUUGCUAAGACUGAUGGCGACCGGCGCACGGGUGAGUAACACGUAUCCAACCUGCCGUCUACUCUUGGACAGCCUUCUGAAAGGAAGAUUAAUACAAGAUGGCAUCAUGAGUCCGCAUGUUCACAUGAUUAAAGGUAUUCCGGUAGACGAUGGGGAUGCGUUCCAUUAGAUAGUAGGCGGGGUAACGGCCCACCUAGUCUUCGAUGGAUAGGGGUUCUGAGAGGAAGGUCCCCCACAUUGGAACUGAGACACGGUCCAAACUCCUACGGGAGGCAGCAGUGAGGAAUAUUGGUCAAUGGGCGAGAGCCUGAACCAGCCAAGUAGCGUGAAGGAUGACUGCCCUAUGGGUUGUAAACUUCUUUUAUAAAGGAAUAAAGUCGGGUAUGGAUACCCGUUUGCAUGUACUUUAUGAAUAAGGAUCGGCUAACUCCGUGCCAGCAGCCGCGGUAAUACGGAGGAUCCGAGCGUUAUCCGGAUUUAUUGGGUUUAAAGGGAGCGUAGAUGGAUGUUUAAGUCAGUUGUGAAAGUUUGCGGCUCAACCGUAAAAUUGCAGUUGAUACUGGAUAUCUUGAGUGCAGUUGAGGCAGGCGGAAUUCGUGGUGUAGCGGUGAAAUGCUUAGAUAUCACGAAGAACUCCGAUUGCGAAGGCAGCCUGCUAAGCUGCAACUGACAUUGAGGCUCGAAAGUGUGGGUAUCAAACAGGAUUAGAUACCCUGGUAGUCCACACGGUAAACGAUGAAUACUCGCUGUUUGCGAUAUACUGCAAGCGGCCAAGCGAAAGCGUUAAGUAUUCCACCUGGGGAGUACGCCGGCAACGGUGAAACUCAAAGGAAUUGACGGGGGCCCGCACAAGCGGAGGAACAUGUGGUUUAAUUCGAUGAUACGCGAGGAACCUUACCCGGGCUUAAAUUGCAGAUGAAUUACGGUGAAAGCCGUAAGCCGCAAGGCAUCUGUGAAGGUGCUGCAUGGUUGUCGUCAGCUCGUGCCGUGAGGUGUCGGCUUAAGUGCCAUAACGAGCGCAACCCUUGUUGUCAGUUACUAACAGGUUCCGCUGAGGACUCUGACAAGACUGCCAUCGUAAGAUGUGAGGAAGGUGGGGAUGACGUCAAAUCAGCACGGCCCUUACGUCCGGGGCUACACACGUGUUACAAUGGGGGGUACAGAGGGCCGCUACCACGCGAGUGGAUGCCAAUCCCCAAAACCUCUCUCAGUUCGGACUGGAGUCUGCAACCCGACUCCACGAAGCUGGAUUCGCUAGUAAUCGCGCAUCAGCCACGGCGCGGUGAAUACGUUCCCGGGCCUUGUACACACCGCCCGUCAAGCCAUGGGAGCCGGGGGUACCUGAAGUGCGUAACCGCGAGGAGCGCCCUAGGGUAAAACUGGUGACUGGGGCU
rnacentral:rRNA from 1 species